UACGAAGGGGACUAGCGUUGUUCGGAAUUACUGGGCGUAAAGCGCACGUAGGCGGAUCGUUAAGUCGGGGGUGAAAUCCUGGAGCUCAACUCCAGAACUGCCUUCGAUACUGGCGAUCUCGAGUCCGGAAGAGGUGAGUGGAACUCCUAGUGUAGAGGUGGAAUUCGUAGAUAUUAGGAAGAACACCAGUGGCGAAGGCGGCUCACUGGUCCGGUACUGACGCUGAGGUGCGAAAGCGUGGGGAGCAAACAGG
rnacentral:rRNA from 1 species